AUCUAUAUAGUAUAAAAAGUAUAUUUGACUUCCAAUCAUAAGGUCUAUUAUUAAUAGCAUAGAUA
rnacentral:tRNA from 1 species